UGCACCACUGGCUACUACUUGCUCCAUCAGUAGUGUUUGCCGGCAAACAAGAAGACUAGUUGAUAUUACUAUGAUCUUCUGGAUUUGAGCCUGGGCAGCCCUCAGAAGAGGCAGGGUAAGCAAGAAGGGUUCAGGAAGAACUUCUUGUGUUAGGCCAGAAACCCCACUCACUAGCUUCAACAAUCCAAGCCUCACCGAUAAAUCAAUUCUAUCACCAUUGCAUUCUGGUUCUGGUUUCUGACCACCUGUAGUAUUGGAAGCAGAUGAAGUAUAAGCAGCUCCACUUCCUUUUGUUUUCAGCAUAAAGCUUCCACCGGUUCUAAGAGUAGUGGAAGGAAGAAACUCCUGAGAUGA
rnacentral:misc_RNA from 1 species